GCGUCAGGUAGCUCAGUGGUUUAGAGCAGUCGCCCGGUAAGCGAAAGACUCGGGUUCGAGUCCCGGCUUUAGCA